AGCAGCCGCGGUAAUUCCAGCUCCAAUAGCGUAUAUUAAAGUUGUUGCAGUUAAAAAGCUCGUAGUUGAAUUUCGGGAUUGACGUGAUGGUCAUGCCUUAAGGGGUAUGAACUGUUGCAGUUGAUUUCUCACCUUCUGGAGAAACUUGAUGUCCUUUAUUGGGUGUCUUGCGGAUCCAGGACCUUUACCUUGAAAAAAUUAGAGUGUUUAAAGCAGGCAUUUUUGCUCGAAUACAUUAGCAUGGAAUAAUAGAAUAGGACGGCAUGGUUCUAUUUUGUUGGUUUCUAGGAUCACCGUAAUGAUUAAUAGGGAUAGUUGGGGGCAUUAGUAUUCAAUUGUCAGAGGUGAAAUUCUUGGAUUUAUUGAAGACUAACUACUGCGAAAGCAUUUGCCAAGGAUGUUUUCAUUAAUCAAGAACGAAAGUUAGGGGAUCGAAGACGAUCAGAUACCGUCGUAGUCUUAACCAUAAACUAUGCCGACUAGGAAUCAGACGAUGUUAAUUUUUAAUG
rnacentral:rRNA from 1 species